UACGUAGGGGGCAAGCGUUGUCCGGAUUUAUUGGGCGUAAAGAGCGUGUAGGCGGCCAGAUAGGUCCGUUGUGAAAACUGGAGGCUUAACCUCCAGCGGUCGAUGGAAACCAUCUGGCUAGAGUCCGGAAGAGGAGAGUGGGAUUCCUGGUGUAGCGGUGAAAUGCGCAGAUAUCAGGAAGAACACCCGUGGCGAAGGCGGCUCUCUGGGACGGUACUGACGCUGAGACGCGAAAAGCGUGGGGGAGCGAACAGG
rnacentral:rRNA from 1 species